UAAUCCUGGUCGGACAUCAGGAGGUUAGUGCAAUGGCAUAAGCCAGCUUGACUGCGAGCGUGACGGCGCGAGCAGGUGCGAAAGCAGGUCAUAGUGAUCCGGUGGUUCUGAAUGGAAGGGCCAUCGCUCAACGGAUAAAAGGUACUCCGGGGAUAACAGGCUGAUACCGCCCAAGAGUUCAUAUCGACGGCGGUGUUUGGCACCUCGAUGUCGGCUCAUCACAUCCUGGGGCUGAAGUAGGUCCCAAGGGUAUGGCUGUUCGCCAUUUAAAGUGGUACGCGAGCUGGGUUUAGAACGUCGUGAGACAGUUCGGUCCCUAUCUGCCGUGGGCGCUGGAGAACUGAGGGGGGCUGCUCCUAGUACGAGAGGACCGGAGUGGACGCAUCACUGGUGUUCGGGUUGUCAUGCCAAUGGCACU
rnacentral:rRNA from 1 species